rnacentral:rRNA from 1 species
UACAGGGGGUGCAAGCGUUGCUCGGAAUUAUUGGGCGUAAAGCGCGCGUAGGCGGUGACUCAAGUCGGAUGUGAAAGCCCUUGGCUUAACCGAGGAAGUGCAUCCGAAACUGAGUCGCUAGAGUACGAUAGAGGGUCGCGGAAUUCCCGGUGUAGAGGUGAAAUUCGUAGAUAUCGGGAGGAACACCGGUGGCGAAGGCGGCGACCUGGGUCGAUACUGACGCUGAGGCGCGAAAGCGUGGGGAGCAAACAGG